rnacentral:rRNA from 1 species
AUUGAACGCUGGCGGCAUGCCUUACACAUGCAAGUCGAACGGCAGCAUGAUCUAGCUUGCUAGAUUGAUGGCGAGUGGCGAACGGGUGAGUAAUACAUCGGAACGUGCCCUGUAGUGGGGGAUAACUAGUCGAAAGAUUAGCUAAUACCGCAUACGACCUGAGGGUGAAAGUGGGGGACCGCAAGGCCUCCUGCUAUAGGAGCGGCCGAUGUUUGAUUAGCUAGUUGGUGAGGUAAAGGCUCACCAAGGCGACGAUCAGUAGCUGGUCUGAGAGGACUAUCAGCCACACUGGGACUGAGACACGGCCCAGACUCCUACGGGAGGCAGCAGUGGGGAAUUUUGGACAAUGGGGGCAACCCUGAUCCAGCAAUGCCGCGUGUGUGAAGAAGGCCUUCGGGUUGUAAAGCACUUUUGUCCGGAAAGAAAUCGCACUUACUAAUAUUAGGUGUGGAUGACGGUACCGGAAGAAUAAGGACCGGCUAACUACGUGCCAGCCGCCGCCGUAAUAC